UUGGUCGCCAACGAGUGGCGGACGGGUGAGUAACACGUAGGUAACCUGCCCAGAAGCGGGGGACAACAUUUGGAAACAGAUGCUAAUACCGCAUAACAACGUCUGUUCGCAUGAACAACGCUUAAAAGAUGGCUUCUCGCUAUCACUUCUGGAUGGACCUGCGGUGCAUUAGCUUGUUGGUGGGGUAACGGCCUACCAAGGCGAUGAUGCAUAGCCGAGUUGAGAGACUGAUCGGCCACAAUGGGACUGAGACACGGCCCAUACUCCUACGGGAGGCAGCAGUAGGGAAUCUUCCACAAUGGGCGCAAGCCUGAUGGAGCAACACCGCGUGAGUGAAGAAGGGUUUCGGCUCGUAAAGCUCUGUUGUUAAAGAAGAACACGUAUGAGAGUAACUGUUCAUACGUUGACGGUAUUUAACCAGAAAGUCACGGCUAACUACGUGCCAGCAG
rnacentral:rRNA from 2 species